rnacentral:rRNA from 1 species
UACGUAGGGGGCUAGCGUUGUCCGGAAUCAUUGGGCGUAAAGAGCUCGUAGGCGGUCUGUUGCGUCCGCUGUGAAAACUCGGGGCUUAACCCCGAGCCUGCAGUGGAUACGGGCAGACUAGAGGUAGGUAGGGGAGAAUGGAAUUCCCGGUGUAGCGGUGAAAUGCGCAGAUAUCAGGAAGAACACCCGUGGCGAAGGCGGCUCUCUGGGACGGUACUGACGCUGAGACGCGAAAGCGUGGGGAGCGAACAGG